GAGAUAGCUCAAUUAGUAGAGCAUGAGACUCUUAAAGCUCAGCGCCAUGGGUUCGAGACCCACUUUGGGGACA